GCUUGGUGGAGAAGAAGGCUUGGAAUUGAGUUACUUUCUUCAUCUUCUUCAUCACUUGGAUUAGAGAAGAAAGCUUGUUUAAGUGACCUCUAGGAUUUUGGAAGAGAGCUCUUGAUCAUGAGAGGUUUUAAUCUCAAUUGAUCAUAUGUUUCCGCAAUUGAAGGUGAAACCGACGCGGAGGAUCAUUCGGAUUGAGAUUCCGUUGAGCCGGUGGUGGUCAAAGUGAAGAAAAUUCUAUUUUUGCUUCAUUUGUCGCAGUUGGAAGAAAACAACGGCCGUAAAUCGCGCUGCUAGGCUACUCGCUUCGUGUCGACAUCACGAGAGCCUAGUUCGAGCGCGUGUGUCGAGGAUCGCGGCAAGGGCGUCG